rnacentral:rRNA from 1 species
GACGAACCGUGCGAACGUUAUUCGGAAUCAUUGGGCUUAAAGGGCGCGUAGGCGGCGUCGUAAGUCGGGCGUGAAAUCCCAUCGGCUCAACCGUGGAAUUGCACUCGAUACUGCGACGCUCGAGGGAGGUAGGGGCAUGUGGAACUUCCAGUGGAGCGGUGAAAUGUGUUGAGAUUGGAAGGAACGCCGGUGGCGAAAGCGACAUGCUGGAUCUCUUCUGACGCUGAGGCGCGAAAGCUAGGGUAGCGAACGGG